rnacentral:lncRNA from 1 species
GGAUGAGGGACAGCAGUGCCUCAUGGCAGGAAAUGAGCCACAGUGACGCACAGAAAUCUCUUCCAUGCGUGAAAACAGCCAGCCGGUGAGAUGAUGUCAGAGCUGGAGAAAAGGGAUGGACAUACAUUGAGCUCUUACUGUGUACCGCCCUCCACACCAGGUACUCUGCAUGAAGCGAUGAGAACACUGAGGCCCAGAUUGGGUAACUGGCCCAGGAGCCCACAGCUGAUAGGUGCAGAGCCAGGUUUGGAACCCAGUUCUGGAGGCCAGAAGUCCAAUAUGGGUCUCAUGGGCUAAAACCAACGUGUUGCCCGGGCUGUGUUCCUUCCAGAGGCUCCAGAUGAAGCUGGGGUUGGAGAUGGAGUUGUCAUCUUGUGACCUCAAAGCAACCAGCAUGAUAACAAAAGCCAGCACACCACAGACGGCAGAAUGGAAAGGCAGUAAGAAUCUGGGUCCGGUCUCUCACAAGGUUGUUGAGUCACUACACCAGUCCUGGAAUGCUGAUCUCUGGAGAACUUGUUAGACAGUCUUCCCACCACCUUGUUCCGAGGCUCUGGGUGAGUGUUCCAGAAGCUGACGAGAUGCAGGAUCGUCUCCCUCACACACACAAAUGCCAUGGCAACAGCAACUCCGUGACAACAGCAAAGAAAGCCAGACUGGAAUUUGCCAACCCAGAGUGUUGACCAUCUGUGAGGCCAAACCCUCCAAAUGUUGCCCGUUCUAAGUGCUCAUCUCAACCAGGCUUUUGUACAUAGCAGAGGCGACAUUUAAGUGACAUAAGAAUAAACAUUGGGCACAUGUGAAAUCCCUUUAAAGUGUGCAUUUUUCUGCCCCAAUGUGACUGAGAUGAUGACACAAUGAAGAAAAAGGGGGGACUAGGUUUGAGUGAGUGGGCAUGGUAGAUUUCAGUAAUAGGAAAUUUAGACCGUCCAUAGGGGAGGAGCUCUCCAUAGAAAAAACGGCCCAGUUAGUUUAUAUCUAUGCUUCCAUUUUCAAGUCCAACAAUCUUUUAGAAGUUUACCUUCCCCAAGGCAAAACAUUGUGUGUAUAUAUAUAUAUAUUUUUUUUGCUUUUUUUGAGACAGGGUCUUCCCCUGUCACCCAGGCUGGAGUGCAGUGGUGCAAACAUGGCUCACUGCAGCCUCGACCUCCUGGGCUCAAGCCAUCCUCCUGCCUCAGCCUCCCUAGUAGCUGGGACUAUAGGCGUGCACUAUCAUGCCCGGCUAAUUUUUAAUUUUUUGUAGAGACAGGGUUUUGGCAUGUUGCCUGGCCUCAAACUCCUGAGCUCAAGCCAUCCUCCUGCUUUUGUAUCCCAAACUUGUGGGAUUAUAGGCAUGAUCCACUACAUCCGGCCAAAGAUUUGUGAAUAGUUCCAUCAAAGGCCCCAAUAAAUUUAACCCUCUGGGUCUUGAGUUUCCAUGGGUCUCCUUUUGUUCUUAUAAUAACAGUGAUAACAUCUGGUAGGAACUGUGCCAAAUCCUUCAUAUGUAUUUUCUCACUUACUCUUUGUAACAAACUUAGGAGGAGGUACGGCGAUUACUGUUGGCCCUCCAUAUCUGCGGGGAUUUGUGGGUUGGGUUCUACCAACUGUGGAUUGAAAAUAUUUGGGGGAAAAAAAUCCACAAUGAAAAAUAACAAUAAAACAAUAAAA